UUUUUCAGACAGAGUCUUGCUUUUGUUGCCCAGGCUGGAGGCAUGAUGUUUGGAGGUACUUAUCUAUAGCCUUUCACAGAACGUCAAAGAAGUGUCAUAAGUAUUCUGAAGCUCUUCAUAUGCCGUGCCGCUAUCAAUAUGGCUCAUGUCUACUUUUAUAACUCUGCCAAACACAUUGAAAGACAAUUUAACUUCCAAGUUUAAGUGUUCUAGGACAACUCCAACAUCUCUUCAGAGUUGACAGUAAGCUUGGCUAAUGUUAGAAACAAAAGUCCCCAGUAAGUCAGCCGUAUCUGCAUGGACAAAGCAGUCCUGAGUGCUGCUAAAUUAACUGAGAAAACUUUUCAACACUCAUGUCUUACUAAGUCUGUUUCAUUCAGAACAUUCCAUACACAUCUUUAGC
ensembl:lncRNA novel transcript, antisense to GRB2